UACGUAGGGCGCAAGCGUUGUCCGGAAUUAUUGGGCGUAAAGAGCUCGUAGGCGGUUUGUCGCGUCUGCUGUGAAAACCUAAGGCUCAACCUUGGGCUUGCAGUGGGUACGGGCAGACUAGAGUGCGGUAGGGGUGACUGGAAUUCCUGGUGUAGCGGUGGAAUGCGCAGAUAUCAGGAGGAACACCAAUGGCGAAGGCAGCUCGCUGGAACGGUACUGA
rnacentral:rRNA from 1 species